rnacentral:rRNA from 1 species
AACGAACGCUGGCGGCGUGCCUGACACAUGCAAGUCGAGCGGAGAUGAUGUGAGGAAGUUUUCGGAUGGAAUCACAUUAUUUUAGCGGCGGACGGGUGAGUAACGCGUGAGCGACCGACCUUGCACAGGGGGAUAACGGACCGAAAGGUUCACUAAUACCGCAUGAGACCACGGUGUUGCAUGACACAGGGGCCAAAGGAGGAAUCCGGUGCAAGACGGGCUCGCGUCCGAUUAGGUAGUUGGAGGGGUAACGGCCCACCAAGCCUAUGAUCGGUAGCCGACCUGAGAGGGUGAUCGGCCACAUUGGAACUGAGAUACGGUCCAAACUCCUACGGGAGGCAGCAGUGGGGAAUAUUGGGCAAUGGGGGAAACCCUGACCCAGCAACGCCGCGUGAAGGAAGAAGGUUUUCGGAUUGUAAACUUCUGUCCUUGGUGAAGAGAAGAAGACGGUAGCCAAGGAGGAAGCCCCGGCUAACUACGUGCCAGCCGCCGCGGUAA